rnacentral:lncRNA from 1 species
AUAAAAGAAGUUACCUACGCGGUAUAAAUGAUCAUCCUGCUCCAAGCAUAGGUUCAUUAAGUCUAUGCUGAACCAGUCAGAUACUUUAUACAAAACUAGACCUCAAACGUACCAGUCACGACCUCAAGCCCAAACAACUCAAUCAACAUCCAAUCACUACAAUCCAAACAAUCAGUUACAAACACAGGUAAUGAGGUUCAAACAAAAUCAAGAGCAAUUACAUCAAGUAUAGUAAUUAGCAAUUAAACAGAAUUAUUCACUUAGGCAAACCAAUUACAAUAUACACACCCAAGCAAUGUCACAUAGAUGCAUAUGAUGAAUGUCUAGUCCUAGUGCAGGCCAUGAGCUCAUGUGUCGGUUAGCACCUGCAUUCCCGACAUUUAUCCGGUUACGAGUUCACGAUUUCCCGGAUACGAUUUUCCGUUCAAAUAAAUGCGCAUAUAACUAUUAGCAGCUCUAUUGAGACAGCCUCUGCUUUCUACUCGCAGGAAAUAUAUACUCUUGGGAACGGAAAAUUAUUCUUGGGUUGUCUCAGGGCAACAGAUAAAUAAGCAAACAUCUCUUGGGUUGCAUUAAGCAACAAACAAAUAAAUAAUAUCUCUUGGGUUGCAUUAAGCAACAAAUAAAUAUAUAAUAUCUCUUGGGUUGCAUUAAGCAACAAAUAUAUAUAUAAUAUCUCUUGGGUUGACGCAAGCAACAAACAAACAUCUCUUGGGUUGCCGCAAGCAACAAACAAACAUCUCUUGGGUUGCUUCAAGCAACAAACAAAUAAACAAAUAUCUCUUGGGUUGCCUCAAGCAACAGAUAAUCAUACAAUAAGUACUUUACUCUUUCCUUUUUCUUUCUUAAUUGCAAGUACGCAAGUGGGAUAAGACCCACGCCCUUGCCAACAAUCCCGUAUACCAAAUAAUAUUUUCUUGAAAGAUUCAUUGAAGUUAUUAUCAUUAAAUAAGCCUUAAAUAUUGAUUUUGAUUAAGUCCUUGUACUUUUAUAAAAAUUUGGACAUAAUCUCCUUUAAAAAUAGGACUUAGCCACCCCUACGGGUUCCUUCUUUCUCAACAUUUCAUCAGCCUCUUUCAGCAGUUGCCACAACAAUAUAUAUUCUCAAAAACAUUUGAUAAUAGUAUAGAAAAUCUAUUUCUUAAAUUCCAUAUCCAAAAUAAUUGCCAACACAACUUGGCAGCCUGAUUUCUAUUUUGUUUUUAAAAUAUCAAAUGAAUUCGGAACCACGCAAACUUUAUAUCCAUGCGACCGUCUCGGAUUAAGCUUUCUAUUAAAUCAAAAAUCAUAAUUUUUUGCUGACUCUAGCUUCGGGAAUAUAAGCAAAACCGUGACUGCUCUGCAGUAUUUUAAAACCAGAAGACAGCAGCAGCAUACAACAUUCGAAAUUUCAUAUAAAAUUCAAAUUAAAUCCAACUACCUUCAAAAUUACUGUGGUUAAACAUAACUCAUCCAAAUUUCUUUCUCAAUUUGUUCCAGGGUCAUACCAUUUUUAAUGAAGAAGUAACGUAGCUUCGAAGUUAGAUAAUUCUCUGCAGAAUUCUGUUUUACAAAUCAUUGAACACAACCUCUUCCUAGUCCCAUAACUCACUUAUUAAAACAUAAAAAACCCUGAAAUUUAAAUCACAUAUGCUAAACAUACUUAAUUUUCACCUCCAAUUGGUUUCAUCUCAAUAUCUAUCUAGGAUCAAAAGUUAUAAACUCCCAAAGUUACUAAUUUAAGAAAACAGAAUCUGGCUUUUUCUGCAUAAUGCAUCAUCCUUCAAAAAUUCAUAUCUUUAAAACUACAAGUCCAAUUGUUCUGAAAUUUUAUGGCAUUAAAAUAAUAUGAAUAAAGUUUUAUUUAAAAUUAGUUUCAUUUCAAAAUUCAAACUGCUGAAUUUCCAAUAGAGGAAUCAAGUUGCUGCUGUGUUAAACGUUCUGCAGAAAAACCAGAUUUGACAUCCAUAAUUCAAAAAUUUACCAUAAAUCAUAAACUUAAUGAAAAAGUCUCAAAUUCACUAGUCCAACUCCCUAUAUACCCAAUCUUAAUCCAGACUUAGUCCCAUACAAAUAUGAUCAUCAUAGAAUUAGUUAUAGAUUUUCAAAGUUUCUAAUUUCAUUUAAAGUAGUGCAGAAAAUCAGAUUCACGACUUAACUUUGAAAAAUCAUAACUAAUGUUUUCAGUUAAUAUGAAACUUUCAAAAUUAAAUCUCAACAAUCACACUUAAUAUAAUUUACUUAACAUUUAAAUUCUCAUCAUUUCAGUCACUAUAGAGCCACUGAUUCACUUUCAAAGUUGCUGUUUAAUUUCAGUAAACCAUUUUGUAUUCAAAAUCCAACCCUUCAAUACCCCUCAAAACCAAUUCCAAAUCAACCAUCAACCAAGUUCAUUAAUAUUACAAUAUACCAAAUAACAGCUCAGCGACAACAAAUCCAACAUUACCCAUUAAAAUUCAUAAAUUCUCAACAAUUAGUCAUCAAACAAUUCCCAAUCCACAUAAUCAAUCAAUAUCACUAAUCAACAAUUCCAAAUCACAAUCUCAACCAUUCCAAUCACAAUUUCAGCCACAAUUCAAUAUUCACAUAAUUAAUCAAUUACUCACAGCUAUUAAAUCUAUUUGCAGUUAUUCAAUAAACCUUGUCGGCAUUCUUAAAUUGAACUCGUUUUAAACCCCCUACCUCGAUUAGCCGAAAUUCGAUAAUUAAGCGCAGCCAACCCCUCUUUCAUCUUAAUUCGUAGCAGCAACUGACUCGAACCAAGCUAGCAACAGCAGCAGCAGCAGCAACUCUUACAGUUCUCUAUUAUCACUAACACUAUCACCUUUGAUAGUUUCAUCAGCAAACAGGGAAGGCAUAGCAGCAGCGUUAAACAGAGACAUAGGUUUUCCUUACUCAUAACAGAGAAGACUAAGAAAUAAAAUGGAAGCAGAGUAAGGAUUAAAGCUUACAGGUUCAAGAAUAGGAAAAUCAGAACCAGAACAAGAAGGCUGGUGCUGUUUUAAACUCUGGUGACAGUGCACGACUCACCAACGAUCCUGACAGCGGCGGAGGUCCUUUCUCCCUCUCCUCUGCGUGUAUUCUGCGAUGGUGACAGCUUGGAGUGGACUCCACCCAUGACCAGAGGCACGGCGGCGCAGCCUCAGAAGUGGCUAUGAGGCUAGCAACAGCAAGACAGUUCGAUGGUGAUGAAGGCACGACGGAGGCACAGCGGCGCUACUCUUCACACACGAGCUCCCCUCUCCUCUGGUAUGCGAUGACAGUGGCGCUAAUUGAAGCUCCAUGGACAGCGGCGACAGAACCCUACCAGUGGCAGUGGUGGAUCGGUCGCGUUGGAGGCACAGCUACGUCCCCUUUCUCUCGGCCUUGACUCGCGUUACGACGUCGUCUUCUCUUCUCCAUGGAAGUGUUGACGAUGGUGGAACGGGCUCGGCGUGACAACCUGCUGGACGGUGGCGGUGCGCGAUGAGGACGACGGCAGCGGCAGUCAAGCGCGACAGCAGCGGCGUCUUCUUUCUCUUCUUCCCGCAAAUCUCUUUCUCUGCUCUACGUUGUGUGACCGUUGGGGUAAGGAAGUGUGGCUGGCAGCUGCUGAGGGUUGGAGGAAAUUAGGUUAGGGUUUCUGAUUUUCAAUUUGGGAAUUAGGGUUUGAAAUUAGGAUUUUAUAAAAGAAUAUAGAUAGAUAUGAAUAGAUAUUUUGAUAAAAUUGAAAGGUAGAGUAAUUUUAAAACCAAAUAUACUCUCUUAAAAAUACUUAAGAAUAUUAUUUAUCAAUAUAUUGCUAAGUUGAACUGAUUAUUUCUAAUUUAAAUUAUAAAAUAAGCAUAUUAAUCACAUUUUUAUAAAAUACAGUUUAAACUCAAAACUAAUUAUUCAAAUUAAAUAAUAUAACUUUUUAUUAUUUUUCUAUCACCGAAACUUUAAUUUCAAUUUACAAAAUAUCUAAUUAUAAUAAAAUUACUUAAACUUAAAGUAUUUAUAAAAAUCCAUUUAAUCAUUCCUAAUAAAUUAAUCUCUAGGAGCUCAAACUAAUAAAAUAAACCAUAAUUUAUCCAUAAUAAAAAUUAUUUAAAUUAAAUUAUACAAUUUUCAAAAUAUAUAAAAUAACCAACUAUAAAAAUUUACACAAGAAUAUUAAUUAACUUAACUCCUGUUCGGUAAGUCGGGUAUCGGACGGUUCGGAUCAGGACCCUGAGGUCAAUACUUCGGAGGGUGGAGAGGCUCGCCUGGUCGUGACCUCCUGGUUCCGGGCGAGCGAGGUCCCGAGCACUUCUGAUGGAGAAGGGGGGUGCCACCUGCAAAGACACUCCGACGCCCUUGUCAGAAUAUGUGCAGGCGGAGAGGGAAUGAUGUGUGAAUGGGACGUACCUUGGGGGGAGAGCCAGUCUCCCCCUUAUAUACAUGUCAGUAGUGGGCCCUUCCAGUGGGCAGGCCCAUACCCUCAAAGGUGUUGUCCCACGGCUGUGUGCAAGCCGUACGGGACGCGUGUCCGGGUCGGGUGGAGGACGCACCAUUGGGCCGGCGAGGACUCGGGUCGGGUUGACCCGCGUGAGUUUUGGGCCAGGCCGUAACAGUGCCCCCGACGCGUCAGUGAUGGCCGUGGGGGCCAUUGGUGGCGCGUGAUGUUUACACUCGUGCGUUGUCGUUGGGUCGGCUGAUCGUGGGAGGGACGCGUCUCUUGUGCGCGUGUCUCUUGAUCUGCUGUGGCAUCUGUUUGCCGUUUCGUUCUCCGCGCUGGGCAUUUAAUGCUCAUAAUGAUUUGAAAAAACCCGUGCGUAAAGACUAUCUUGCCCCUGCUUCCUUUCGCGCUUUUGGGGGUGGUUUUUAAACAGUUUUCUCCCUAUCCACCCCCCACUCUUAUCAUUUCCAACUUCUUCUCUCCCUGACAUCCAAAGUUUCCUGCGUGAACUCCUUCCUGCUUCAACUUCCAGCCCAGAUUUCUUUCAUCGUUCCAGGUAAUCUUCUGAUUUCUCUCUUCUGGUGUCUGUGUUAUGCUCUGUUAUUGUGUGAUUUUUUGUUUGCAUCUACUGCAUGGCUGGUUUUAUUUUUGUUAAGAGGUUUUUUCAGUGUUGGGAUAGGUGGGUUAGGAGAGGGGUACCAUUCCAGGAUAGGCUUUUUUGGGUGGUUUGUGAGGUAGGCGUGGUUUUUAGCCGUAUCUGGUCAUGAUUGAGUUGAAAAGGCGUAGUUUCUGAGUUUUUUCGGGCUCCCGGCCUCAUAGACUAACGGAGUGGUACCCCGCUGUAGGUAUGCCUCGUGUUGUCUCCCGGUCUUCCGGAUCCGCUGCGGCUUACGACCCGUAUGCUUGGGUGACAGACGAUAUAAGGAGUUCACCCAACCAGAUGGACUUGGAGGAAUUGACGGAGUUCCGGCAAGCCGGUUACCUGUGUGGGGGUCCUUCUUCUUUCCGGUUUGACGACUAACGUUCUUGUUCUUUAUUCGUAGUGGAAAUGUCUGCCACCGUGACCGGUCUUGAGAACCUGAUGAAGACCUUUUUUGAGGCUAGUGAUGAUGAGAAUGCCGAAGAAAAGGGGGCCGGCAAGUCGGAGGGUCCGUCAGGGGAAAAAGAGGGUCAGGCUUCCCCUGCCCAGGAUACCGAGACGUCGGGAAAGCAGGGCCUAGGGGGUCAAGUUUCCCCUACCCAUGAGGAGGGACCUGCCGAUGGGAAGGCGACCCUCUCCCCCCAUCCAGAUAGCGACGUGGAGCUUAUCCACACUCCUAAGAAGCGAAAGAUGUCUUCCAGCCCGGAGGGGGUCCUAACCGUAAUGGAGAGGAAUUUUGAUGCCUCCAAGUUCAUUGACUCCCAGUUGAUACCCGGGAAGAAAGAGCAUUUUCAUGCAACCGAGCUAUCCGGACAGGCGAGGUGGAUGUAUCGCACCUUGCUUCGUGGGGCCGUGAUAGCUCGGAAGGCUGAGUUUGAGCUAUCUGGUAUGGAGGCGCUUCGGAGGAAGCUUGAGUCUUCUGUUAAGGCGAAUAACGACUUUAAGGAUCAAGUUGAGCUCCUCCAGGGUCAGCUGUCCGAGAUGGGGGGAAAGCUUAAUGCUGCUGAGGAGAAGUCGUCGUUUAUUGCGAUGUGUUCUUUUCUCUUGGAACGUGCUGGAUAAUGACCUCCUGGAACUGGCUCAUCAUUUGCUUAACCUUUUCCAAGUACUUUUGGAGGAGGGGGUCUCGGGCUUGGUAGCUUCCGUUUACCUGCGAGGUGACGACUUGGGAGUCGCUGCAUACUUCGACCCUCGUCACCCUGACUUCCCGAGCCAGCAUUAGUCCGCCUAGGAGAGCCUUGAGUAAUCCAAUUCCCGGAUGAAUCCCGCUUCUAAGAGGCUGGCCGUUUGCUUGGCUACCUCGUCUGCCCUUUCCUGCGACAUUUUCCUCCUUCUCUGGGCCACUGGUUUGGCUCCUGUCUUUACGGCCAGGUGGUGUGACAUGAGCUGGGGGUCUAUUCCUGGCAUGUCGGCAGGCGUCCAGGCGAAGAGGUCGGCGUUAGCCCUGAUCAUCUCCAUCAAAGGCUCCUUUAUUUCGUGCGGGAGGUUCCUGUUUAUGAAUGUGAACUUAUCGUGCUCCUCGCCGACUCUGAACUUCUCCAAGUCUCCUUCUGGCUCUGGUCUGGGUUUGUCGUCUACCCUGGCGUCCAGGUCGGCCAGGAAAACUCCUGACGCCUCCUUUGAUUUUUUUCUGAGGGAAAGGCUGGCAUGGUCGCAAGCGACUGCCGUUUCCAAGUCGCCCCGAAGGGAUCCCACGGAUCCGUCAUCGGUGAUGAACUUCAUCACCAGUAGUUUCGUACUGAUAGCUGCCCCCAGGUCGUUAAUGGUCUUUCUCCCCAGGAUGAUGUUAUAGGCCGUUGAAUCUCGUAAUAUUACAAAGUCUGCCAUGAUUGUCCUUCGUCUUUGCCCUUGUCCCACAGAUGUCGGGAGUGUGAUGAUUCCAUCUGGCUUUAUGAAGUGGUCUCCUAACCCUACCACACCGUGCUGGUGGGUCGUCAGGUCGGAAUCUCUCAAUCCCAGGGCAUCGAAAACGUUUCGGAACAUGAUGUUUGAGUCUGCCCCCGUGUCUACCAGGAUUCGUUUGACGAGGCCAGUUCCGACCCUAGCCGUGAUGACCAUGGGCGGACUUUCCGGCGCUUCGUCGAACCAUUGGUCCUCCGGGCCGAAAGAGAUAGGUGGGAGACCCUUAAGACCUCUACCAGGUGGGGCGGAGAUCGCUAAGACCUUGGCAUCUUUCUUCUGCGCCGAUUUCGACCUCGGGGCGGUGUUCCUGGCCGUCACCACGUUUACCAUUGUGAGACCGUGGUCGUCACCCUCUGGCUCCUGUCGUCGUCUUGUUGGUCGGGAUCUGUCCUCGUUGUCGUUGUCCCGGUUGCGUCUCCUUGGUUCCCUUAUAAGGUGGGAGAAGUCGGCGAGUUUGCCGUCCCUGAUAGCUUGCUCGAGGGUGUCCUUUAGGUCAAAGCAGUCUUGGGUCUUGUGCCCGUAACCCUUGUGGUACUCGCAGUAGAGGUUCUUGUUUCCUCCCGUCCUGUCCUUCAGUGGUCGGGGCUUCGACAGUAUCCCCUUUUCUGCUAUCUGUUGGUAAACUUCAGUGAUCGAUGCCGUAAGGGGGGUGUAGUUGGUGAACCUCCCAACUCGGGGGAACGGUUUGGAUGGUUUGCUCGGACCGCCGUCCUUGGCGUGUUCCUUUGGUCUUUCUCUGGCUUCGAAGUGCCGGGAUUGGUUGUAGGCGGGCUGCCGCUUAUUGGCAGCCACGACCCGGCUGACUUCCUCGUCAUUAAUGUAUUCUUUGGCCACGCACUGGAUCUCUUGCAUCGUCCAGACGGGCUUCGUGGUGAGGUGUUUCCUGAAAUCCUCAUUCGACAGCCCGUUCGUUAAGCACAAACUUGCCACCGAGUCCGUCAGACCGUCAAUCUCCAAGCACUCGUCAUUAAAACGGUCCAGGUACUUCCUGGUCGGCUCUCCGGGUCUCUGUGUCACCCCCAGCAAAUUGAUUGGGUGUUUGGCUUUGACAAUCCUAGUUGUGAACUGAGCCAAGAAGGCGCGGCUGAUGUCGGUAAAUUGGGUCACCGAGCCUUGCGGGAGGUUGUUAAACCACCGUAUUGCCGGGCCCGCUAAGGUGACCGGGAAAGCGCGACAUCUGACCUCGUCUCCCACCCCUUCUAGGUUCAUCCUGGCCUCGAAGGCCGUCAAGUGUUCUAGGGGGUCUUGUGUUCCGUCAUACUUCAUGUCUGUCGGUUUGUCGAAAUGUUUUGGUAAUCGGACCUCGAGUACAGAGCGGUGGAAAGGGGUCGCUCCUAUUAUGACAGGUCCUCGGGCAGUUCUUCUCGACUCAUUGUUCUCGCGGUGACGUUCCUCGUUGCCUCUGUUCGACGCGCGCCGCCUUUCGUGUCGGGCGUAGAUAAUGGGGUCGCGACUUCUUCUUCUGGGGCUUAUCCGUUCCUCAGUGCUCUCCGACUCGCAAUGGGGGCUUGGCGUGCGCAUCGAGCGGCUUCUUGAACGGGAACGGGUGGGGCUCCGCUCUGGGGAGCGUUGGUCGCGCUCUCUUUCUGCUAGUCUGCGCUCUAAGUCUUGCAUCCUGUGGCGUAGUUCUUGCAUUAUCCUGGCGUGGUUGUCACCCGUCCCCCCGAAGGGGCGUCUCUCGUGAGUCUGCGUCGCAUCCCUCGUGGGCGACCGUUGCUGCUGCCGGGAUUCCGCCGCGACGGCGCCUCCCCCGAGUAUGGGAGGCGCUACCUCGGAACCAGUCCCAGUCUGGACCAGUACGAAAUCCAUGAACGUCCUUCCCCACAGACGGCGCCAAUGUUCGGUAAGUCGGGUACCGGACGGUUCGGAUCAGGACCCUGAGGUCAAUACUUCGGAGGGUGGAGAGGCUCGCCUGGUCGUGACCUCCUGGUUCCGGGCGAGCGAGGUCCCGAGCACUUCUGAUGGAGAAGGGGGGUGCCACCUGCAAAGACACUCCGACGCCCUUGUCAGAAUAUGUGCAGGCGGAGAGGGAAUGAUGUGUGAAUGGGAUGUACCUUGGGGGGAGAGCCAGUCUCCCCCUUAUAUACAUGUCAGUGUGGGCCCUUCCAGUGGGCAGGCCCAUACCCUCAAAGGUGUUGUCCCACGGCUGUGUGCAAGCCGUACGGGACGCGUGUCCGGGUCGGGUGGAGGACGCACCAUUGGGCCGGCGAGGACUCGGGUCGGGUUGACCCGCGUGAGUUUUGGGCCAGGCCGUAACAACUCCGAAUAUUAAUAAAACUAAUUUAAUUACUCUCAAUUGAUUAAUUUAUAAAAUAAGAUAUCAAAUCAAUAAAAUAAAUCGUAACCUUUUUCAGGAUAAAAGUUACUUAAAUUAAAUUGUACAAUUUCUUUUUUUUUUUAUUUUUCAAUUACUAACAUUAUACAAAAUAUUUAAUUAUAAUAAAUUACUUAAGAAUCUUAUUUGAUUUAAAACGAAAUUAUCUCCGAAUCUAUUUAAUUAUUUCUAAUAAAAUAAUUUCUAAAAUUAUAAAGUUUAAUUUUAAUAAGAUAAAAUCUCAAUUUAUUUAUAUUUAGAUUUCCAAAAACGCGGGAUGUUACAUUCUAUCUAACUUACAAAAGUUUUCGCCCUCAAAAAUUGAUCUAAGAUGGAGAAAAGAUUCAUAUUCACAUCCCCUUUUGAAUAUUUUAAAGAUACCAAGAAAAUUAUAUCACAAACACAGAAGAAAAUAUAUUAGGUGAUGUAAAAGUUAAUAGAAAUAAUUUGAUGCAAACAAAAUUUCAAAAUCUAAAAGUAAAUAUGCAUAAUGUUCGUUCAGAACUCUUAACAAAGCAUGAUCACUUCCUCUCGUAGCCUCAAAACUUCAUGACUCCUUAUAACUUCGUACACUUACCAGACUCACUUUCUCCGCACAAAAAUCGCAUCCCUAAGAACUAACGCAUAUAAGGAAUACGAAACAUGAGAAGAGAAAGACAAGCGGCACGAAAGGUUUAUGUGAGAAAUUAGAAGAAUACUCAAGUUCAUAAUUGUACAAGAUGGUAAUUCGCAAGAUUUUGAAGGAAUACGUGAGAUCGUCAACAAACAAGGAUAUAUAUAAGCAAUGAAAUGGAGCAAAAAGGAAGUUAAUUCAAGGCUUAGGAAGAAAUUAUGAAUCGAACAGUUUCAUAUGAACAUCAUUAGGGAAAAUAGUACAACAAUUUUGAACAACUUCAAUUUGGAAUAGAGGAAAUUAGUUUAUCUUUUUUAAAAGAAUAUAUAUAAAUCUAACAUUUUUUCAAUGUACUAAACUUAGUAUAAAUAAUAUGUUAUAUCAAUUUAAUUUUUAAAUCAAAACAAAUCAUGCAUGGUUUGUAAAUUAAAGCUUGUUUGGCACUAAGGGAAAAAUAUUUUCUUUAAAAAUCUUAAAGGAUACUUAAGUACAUAAUUAGGUAAGAAUAGCUAUAAGAAUAAUAAAGUUGGAAGAAAAUCAGUUUCAAUUCAAAGAAUAUAUUCUAAAAUAAAAUUUUCUAUAAAUCAAUAAAAGAAUAAUGGUAUAUCACAAAUAAACAAGAUUAAACUAUAUAAAGAAAUUUCAGAGUUUAUGUAAGAAAGUUUAGGCUGAAUUAAAAACAAUCUCAUCAAAAUUUGAGUAAGGGUUGUGGAUACAGCCAAGUAAGAAAAGAUUUAAAUUGAAUUUUUUCUCGAAGAGAAUUUGAAACAAGUACUCAAGAAGGAAAUUACAAGAGAUGAUAUGUUGCACCAAAAUAAAUCAGAGUUCAGAGAAAGGAGCAUAGGAUUUAUAAGGUAAGGAUAAAUGUUUUAAAAGAUUCAAACAACAACCAGAUACAGAGUCAAGCAAGGACGUGCACGAAUGAUAAUACAAAGUUAGCAAGGAAGAGAUAAGAAACUAGAAAUUCCAAUACAAUUAGUAGAGAAGGAAAUAACGCUAAGCAUGAAUCAAGAGCAUACGUCGAAACGGAACUAAUCUCUAGAAUUUAGUUUCUAACGUCCCCAAAACCUCGUAAUUCGCGUUAACCUAUCACUUCUAUUUCGUUUAUGAUAACCCAUUAGUGUUCCAUAUACAUAAAUCAUUAGUAUUAAGUUGGCCAAACUUGAUACCAUGAGGUAUGCAAUGGUAAACUAAUAGCGUUAAUCAUUAGACAGUCAUGCAUAUAAAACAAAAACUCUCGUCACCAAGACAAGUCUUAAGGCAUGACAGACACUCAGAGUAUGCAAUGAAGCAUAGUCAGUCCACUCCCAAGGCUCUACAGGAAGGACUGCUCUGAUACCAUAUUGUAACGUCCCAUUUAGCAAAAUACCUUGCUUAAGUCAGGGUAUUUCUACUAGAAAGAACGUUACGUGACCUUUUCUAAUAUUAACUACUUAAUUACUGAGCCUUUGUAUCGAUUUCGCGUUUCAGUUUUAAGAAAAUGCCAGAAAAUUUUGUUUUUAUUCAUUCAAGACAUGUAUCAAAGAUAAGCAUUGCAAAUAAUAAUAACAAUCAUAUAAGUAUUAUUAAUAGUAAUUCUUAUAUAUAAGAAGUCAUAUAAACCCAAAUACAACACCUACCCCUCUGUUAAAAUAAAACCUCAAAGGACAAGAGUGAGGGGACUCUAUGAAAGCAAUUAAAACCAUAAAGAAAACCUACUAAUCACUUGCAGCUUCAUAUUGCGUCUUCAAAACUGUGUCACUGAAAGGGUGGAAAAUUUGGGGGUGAGAACCAAACCACAUGUUCUCAGUAGAGGUCGAGAAUGCCGUGAAAGUAAAGAAUAAAGUGCAAAUAGUUAAUUUCAUUCAGAGACAUCUAAAAAAAAUUAACCUUUUUUUAAAAGCAUUAGUUAAUUCUUCAAAAUCCUAGACCCAUAUUUUCUUUAUAAAACUCUUAAAAAUUUCCGAGACUGUAUGAAUGACCAACCUGUUCCAAACAUAGGUUCAUUAAGUCUAUGCUGAACCAGUUUUAUUUUUCAUACUUUACUAGACCAUAUCAUAAAAGAAGUUACCUACGCGGUAUAAAUGAUCAUCCUGCUCCAAGCAUAGGUUCAUUAAGUCUAUGCUGAACCAGUCAGAUACUUUAUACAAAACUAGACCUCAAACGUACUAGUCACGGCCUCAGGCCCAAACAACUCAAUCAACAUCCAAUCACUACAAUCCAAACAAUUAGUUACAAACACAGGUAAUGAGGUUCAAACACAA